rnacentral:lncRNA from 10 species
ACUUGAUUAGAGAAUUGGAAUUUUCAGUCCCUCACCCUGACUUCUGGAGAGGGAGAGGGAUGGAGAUUGAAUUCAAUCACCAAUGGCCAAUGAUUUAAUCAACCAUGCCUGUGUCAUGGAACACAGGAAACCUAAACAACAUAAAAAUCCUUAACAACAGGGUUUGGUGAGCUUCUGGAUUGGUGAACACAUUGAGGUGGUAGAAGGCUAGAGUUCAGGAGAUGACAUGGGAAGACAUGGAAGCUUUGUGUCCCUUCCCAUAUACCUUGCUCUCUGCAUCUCUUCCAUUUGGCUCCUCCUGAGUUGUGAUUAUUGGCGUGCCUCUCAACAUCCAGCAGAAUGUGGGAAUUGAACAUUGGCUGGGCACGGUGGCUCACACCUGUAAUCCCAGCACUUUGGGAGGCCGAGGUGGCUGGAUCAUUUGAGGUCAGGAGUUUGAGACCAGCCUGGCCAACAUGGGUUUCAUGGCAUGAUAUGGCUCAAUCCACAGACAAAGGCUGCUGAGCCCAGAACAGCUUAUUGGACGAGCCCCUAUGAGAAGCAGAAAUGUAUAGAAGCAAACUGAACCCAAGGAAAGAUUGGUGAUACUUUGGGAGGGAUGACAGAGGAAGGGGAAACACACUGUCCAUCCCUGUCCCAGCAAGGAGCCAGCUCCCAUUCGGCAGUCCCUCUGAACAUCUAGGUAGCUUCCCCCUUCUUUCUGUCCAGUUGUGAGCAGCCACCAACUAUGAUGCCCCUCUUCCAGCAGGCUUUGCUUUCACAUCACAAAGCAUCAUCCUGAGAAACAAUUACAGUUCUUUUUAGAGUUCUGGUUCCUUCAUAGGUACCUAUUGUCCUAAUAAAUGGAAUUCCUUGGAACACAAAAGCAUUUAUUUCCUCUUUUAGCUAAUUUAAUUUUUACAGCUCUGGUGAAAAAAUAUUUUAUGUUUUUACUCAAUGUGAUUUUAAGAUAGCUUAUUCUUGGAUUCAAUUUUGUUUUCAUUUUCUAGAAAAUCAAUUUAAUUCACAGAAGGUUCAUUCAUUUAGUGGCUUUCCUUGCACAUGGUUAAUGCUUAAGCAUUUGAUCAAGCAUUCCUCUUAGCAAUAUCUUUACAAGGUUCAACCGGAGAAGGUGUUAGAUGGGGGAAAUCCUCUACAUUUGGGCAAAGCCUCUUUCCUCUGGACUAAUUGAAAUGGAAAAUCAGUCUGAAUUGGUGAAAUUGAAUUGCAAACUAUUUUUCAAGGAGAUUCCUGUGUGAUUUCAAGUUGCUCAAACUAAACUUAGAAAAGGGCACACUAACAAAGCUUUUUAAGUUAUCUCCAUCUAGCUUCCUAGUGAAGAGGCUACAUUGUCUGGGUAAAUACCUGGGGUUCGUCAUCUCAUGCCAAGAAAAUUUAGGACACGGACCCACAUGAGGAGUUUAGGAACGGAGAUUUAAUAGGCGAAAGAAAAGGAAAGGAAAACAGCUCGCUCUCUAGAGUGACAGAGAGGAGACUUCUGAGAGGAAAAGGCCAGCUGGCGGGAUCUAUGCCUUGAUAGGUCUUCAGUUACUCAUGGUGAAACAUGAUUGCUGAGUUGAGUAAAUAUUUCCUUCCAUAAAGGUAAAUAAGCAUCUCAAGAGCAAGUUUCUACAUUUUGUAUUUCCCUGUUUUAUUUCUGUAAAAUUGUGCAACCAAGAAUUAUGACCUACUGAUAUUAGAAUAAAAUUUGCAGAAGUUUGACUACAUGAGCCAGAUGGGUACUUACACCAGUGAUUACUGAGCGUUCACCAG